rnacentral:rRNA from 1 species
GACGAACGCUGGCGGCGUGCCUAAUACAUGCAAGUCGAACGCAGUGGGGACGGGUGCGUAACACGUGGGUAACCUCCCAUCAGAGGGGAUAACACUUGGAAACAGGUGCUAAACCGCUACUGAUUGAUGGACCCGCGGUGCAUUAGCGAGUUGGUGAGGUAACGGCUCACCAAGGCCACGAUGCAUAGCUGAGCUGAGAGGGUGAGCGGCCACACUGGAACUGCGACACGGCCCAUACGCCUACGGGAGGCAGCAGUGGGGAAUCUUGGGCAAUGGACGAAAGGCUGACCGAGCAAUGCCGCGUGAGUGAAGAAGGUUUUCGGAUCGUAAAACUCUUUUGUUAGAGAAGCGGUAUCUAACCAGAAAGCAACGGCUAACUACGUGCCAGCAGCCGCGGUAAUUC